rnacentral:lncRNA from 1 species
AUUCAAGCUCCAUCCACUAGUCAUUGUCAACAUUUCCGAUCACUACACUCGGAUCAAGUCCCAGUCUUUACCCCCUUCCACCACCCCUCACGCUCCCUCCGCCUCAAACGUCGCCGACGCUGAAUCCUCAUCGCCACCUCAGCAGUCACCUCGAGUGUUCGGAUGCGUUAUAGGCGUCCAACGCGGCCGUACUGUCGAGAUAUUCAACAGUUUCGAGCUCCUAUUCGAUCCAUUAACUCACUCCCUGGACCGUGCCUUCCUGGAGAAAAAACAGGAACUCUGUAUGUACUUCGUUUAUUUAUGUUAUAUUUGUUUCGUUCUGGGUGGUGGAAAUCGAAAGUAAAGAUUUUCAUGCGUUGAGCAGAUAAGAAGGUGUUUCCAAAUUUUUAUAUACUAGGAUGGUACUCGACGGGGAGCGAUGCCCAAGAAUCUGAUAUGCUCAUUCACAGAGCUGUGAGUUCAUUUUUUUUUUCCUGUAAUUGUAUAGUUUUGUCUGAUGGAAUAAAUUUUGUUUAAACUCAAAUGGAGACUGGACUGGUAUAUUUUGAGAUCACGCGUGUAAGUUAUGCAAUUUGAAUAUUCUCAGUGCCUAUCGUUACAGAAAAAAUUUGCAUAUGGAAUAUGAGGAGAAUUUUUUUUUUCUUUUCUUUUUUUAUUUAUUUUUUUAAUUAUGACCACGGGUUUACGCUUACCUCGACUAAUCCUAUGGGGUUAAAGUUUACAACCGGUACUCACCUUAGUGGCCUAAGCUGACUCGAACUGGUAACCAUUAGGAGGAAACCCAAAGCCAGAUGACCGAGCUACCCUCGGGGUUGGAUGAGGAGAAUGUGAAUUUGGAUUGUAGUUGAGUUACUGAGUAUACAAGCCGGGCAUGAGUGAGCACGGAUAAACUGAGCUGGGAAUUUCGGAAGAUGUUUAUAUAGUUCUUCAUUGUUUAUAUUAAAGUCAAAGAUGUGCAUCCUAAUACUGGAAAAUUUGUCAUGGCAUGUCACGGAUUGACAUGCUUAGAUUUUUGAAGUGUUUCUCGUUUCUGCCCUUGAAUUGAUAUUAAUUGGCAUCUUAAUUUGCUAUCAAUAUUUUAUUUGUCCACUUCAAGGUUAGAUUUCCCACUCCGCCGCACUUUCACUGGAAAAAGGAAAGAACAGUACUAUGCUCAAAUAUUUUAAAUCUUUUUUAUUGUUUAUAAUGACCUAACUAGAUUCACCUACGAUUAUGUAUUCUAAUAUACUUGCCGCAAAAACGAACACAUAUUGAGUUUGAGUUUAUUAGAUAGUGGCUCCAUGGUGCUUUAGAUGCUGAGAUAAUGCAUAUUAGGUUUAUAUUAAAUACACAAUAGCAGCAGAUCCGUACAUGCUCCCUAAUUCUUUUCUUCCUAACAGUUGAUGGAUAUCAAUGAGAGCCCCGUAUUUGUUCUUCUCAAUCCGUCGAUCAACCCGGCACAGAAAGAUUUGCCAGUUACAAUUUUUGAAAGUGGUAUGUAUUUAUUAUUCGGCUGUUGCGUAAGACACUUAAAAGCAUGCUCUGCAAUUAAAUUCGUAGGCAUGCUAUUAAACAAGAAUGCUAGAUGGAUGAUACUCAAGCCAAUUUCCAUAUAUACAGCAACCGUGAGAAAUCGACUCAAGUUUUGAAAUGUCAAUAUCUAGAGUUUGAUGAGUAAACACAUCAUACGAGAUGUUUGGAGAAAAAUAUAUCCCAAGCAAAUAGUACUUAUACGUGGUAAGAGAAGGGGCAGAACGAGCUAAAUGCUGUGACUUAGAGCAUAUUUGGCAAAGCUUUUAUUAAAUUAUAAGUAGCGGAUCCUUUGAGAUGUGUGAAUAAUAUAUGGGUCAAAGUAGGUAAAAAGUUGUGGUCUUAUGGAAUGUGUGGAUAAAAAAAUAGAGUUUGACUAACUUAUAAGCAAUUUAAGCUUCGCCAACAUGCACUUGAAAUACGAAAGUGUUAAAGUAAUUUAGUUAUGGCUCAUUCUUGAUAAGUCUACCUAUAUGACUGUAGAGCGUUGAUGACUUGCCGCCUUCAAUGAAUCAAAGGAUAGAGCCUCAUGAAUUAGGAUAGAUGCAAGGUCCGCAUGUUGGCUUGAGAGAGUAUUUGAGCAAUCUAUAAGGUUGUGCGUCUAAGUGCUUCCAAUUAAUGAUAUGUAUAUUUCAAAGAUUUGUCUAUCAUGCUUUCAUGGUUAAAUUAGACAAUAUAGUUUAAUGUGUGAGACACCAUUAUAUAGGUACACAAAUUCCCAGGUCAUGGAAAUAAUUUUUACAUAAAAUUUUCAAUAUGUGGAAAGUGUUGAAAAUAUUCCGAAAAUUUUGGUGAAAGCUUCUAAAUUCGUGCAAGGUUCACUAAUAUUCUUAAUAGAUACCAUUCGUCCCUGGUUGGGAGAGAGUAAAGUAAGUAGUUUAACAUAUUGAAAAAUGAAGAGCUAACAUUCAAGCUCCAUCCACUAGUCAUUGUCAACAUUUCCGAUCACUACACUCGGAUCAAGUCCCAGUCUUUACCCCCUUCCACCACCCCUCACGCUCCCUCCGCCUCAAACGUCGCCGACGCUGAAUCCUCAUCGCCACCUCAGCAGUCACCUCGAGUGUUCGGAUGCGUUAUAGGCGUCCAACGCGGCCGUACUGUCGAGAUAUUCAACAGUUUCGAGCUCCUAUUCGAUCCAUUAACUCACUCCCUGGACCGUGCCUUCCUGGAGAAAAAACAGGAACUCUGUAUGUAC